rnacentral:siRNA from 1 species
AUGGACCCUACAAAAACGCUGGAU